UAUAUAUGUAUGUAUAUGUAUAUGUGGUCGUGUGUAUAAUUUUAUUUAUAUGCACAUCUAUGCAGGUAUAUUUGUCCGUCUAUCUGUUAUCUGUAUGGGGGAUGUGUAUAUAUAUCUAAUUAUCUCUUCCAGAUGUAUGUGUGUACGUAUGAGUAUGUAUGCGCGUGCGCGCGUAAUCUUACCGGUGUUUCGGUAUAUCGUGUGACGGCAUGCUUGUAUACAUCUGUAUAUGUGUAGAAAGAGAGAGAGAGAGAGAGAGAGAGAGAGAGAGAGAGAACAGAGGGACAGAGAGAGGGAGAUAGAGAAGGAGACAGAGUAAGACAGAUGGAUAAGGAGGGAGAAAGAGAGAGAGAGACAGAGAGAGAUUGUAGUUUUCAAAAGGGAAUGUCUUCAGAAGUAUAUGUAUACAUUCAUGUUUAUAUGUGUGUAUAUAUUUUAUGUGCUGGUAUAUACGCAAAUAUUGUGCGUGUGCUCGUUCUUAAGUGUUGGUGUCACAACAUUGCAUACGUUGUGGUAAUAUUAUUAUAUGCAUGUACAUAUACAUACAUACAAAUAUAUAUAUAUAUAUAUAUAUAUAUAUAUAUGUAUUAUGAUAUCGGGUGUGAUAUGAAAGAUAAACGUGUGUAUAUUGCUGCGUAUGUAUCUACGUACGUAUGUAUAUGCCUGGUGGUGUCAUUCUGAACCUAUGUCCGCGACAGUGUCACUCUACACCUGUGCAUGCGUAUAUAUAUGUGUGUAUAAACACUCGUAUGUGUAUAUGUAAAUGGAUGUAUAAGAGAGCGCAUACGCCUGUGCGUAACUGUGCACGUGCGUGCGUGUCUAUGCCUGCGUGUAUACGCUUAUAUGCGUAUAUGUGUGUCUCUAGCUAUACAUGUGCGAAUAUAUGUCAAUGUGUGUAUGCAUGUGUAUAAAACCGUGUAUAACUAUAUGUAUAUAUAUAUAUAUAUAUGUAUAUACGCGUAUGUUAGUUUCUGUGGUAGUGCGAACGUGCAUGCGUGUAUAUAUGUCUAUAUAUGCAUGUGUGUUUAGGCACGUAUCUGCCUAUCGUGUCUGUGUAUGAUUAUACAUGUGUAUGCAUUCGUGUCAGAGUGUGUACGUGGUUAGGUCUAUAUAUAUCCAUGUUUUGUUUACGAGUGUUAAAGAGAAUAUGUGUGCCGCUACGUGCGUGUGCAUCCGUGCGUACGCGUACGUCUUAUAUGCGUAUGUAUAUUAACUUCCAAGUUUGCAUGUAUGUAUGUAUGUAUUUUUGUAUGUAUGUAUGUAUGUAUGUAUGUAUGUAUGUUUGUAUGUAUGUAUGUAUGUAUGUAUGUAUAUAUAUAUGUAUAUAUAUAUAUAUAUAUAUAUAUAUAUAUAUAUAUAUGUAUAUAUGUAUAUAUAUAUAUAUUUACUUGGAAAUGGUCUUUAGAAUGUAUAGAAUGUAUUAUGUAUGUAUGUGUGUAUGUAUGUAUUUGGAAUUUGUAUGAAUGAAAGGGUGUAUGUACGGGUGUAAAUAUGUGUGUAUAUCUAUGUACGUUUAUCUAGGCGUGUAUGCGUGUAUGCGUGUAUGCGUAAGUUUCAUUGUGUAUGCAUCUGUAUCGCCGUAUAUGCAUGUAUGUAUAUAUAUGUAUAUAUAUUUAUGAUUAUAUACAGAUGUGUUUAUAUACUUAGAUAUAUAGAGAGAGAUCUGGGUGUGUUUGCGUGUGUGAUGGAGUAUAGAAAAUAUGAUGACGGUAACGCGUCUCCUCCCAGGAAUGCUUAACUACUACUACUACUACUACUACUACUACUACUACUACUACUACUACUACUACCACCACUACUACUACUGUGGCUGCUGCUGCUGCUUGCAAUAUCAACGCCGUCACAACUUAUCAGUGCUAGUAGUAGUAGUAGUAGUAGUAGUAUUAGUAUUAGUAGUAGUAGAAGUUACAUCCAUACUAAUAACAACAACAACCAAAAUUAUCAACAGCUGCAUUUGGUAAAAUAACUUGUAUAGCAGCGGGCUUUAUUAAUCAGUUCGAAGUUGUUGUUGUUUUAUUCCCAAAUCAGCGUUGGUCGUUCAGACAUUCGACUAUGAUGAGAAAGCCUUCCAGUCGUGACCAUCCUAAUUGCUUUUGUUUAUUUUAUUUUUCUAUUUUUGCCUUUCGUCUUUUAUUCAGUUUUACCAUUCAGCUAUAAGUGUUGCGUUGCUAUGACUAUAUUAUCCAACGUGGCAAAGGUAGUAGGAGGUUUCGAAGGUGGUUUGGCUGCUAUUUCUAAUAGAUCGAACGAGCAGGUAAGAGACUCCACCGUUGGCUCCUGUUAAACUGUGUUGUUGUUGUUGAUUAUUUUGUUGUUGUUCUUGUUGGUGUUGGUGUUUGGUGUGUUGCGGUGGUGGUGGUGGUUGUUAUGAUGGUGUGGCUAUUUGUGGUGAUGGUGGUGAUGGUUGUUAUGAUGGUGUGGCUAUUUGUGGAGAUGGUGGUGGUGGUGGACGAUAUGAUGGUGUGGCUAUUCGUGGUGUUGGUGAUGAGUGCAUUGGUGGUAUUGGUGGUGGUUGAUAUGCUGGUUUUACUAUUUUGUGGCGAUUGUGGUGGCGUUGGUUGCUAUGGAGAUAAUGGUUGUUGCUGUGGUUGUAGUUGCUGGUAGUUGGGUUUGGUGCAAACCAUCGGGAUGAUGUUAUUGCUGGUGUUGGUGAUGACGGCGUCGUGUUGUUGGUUGUAGUUGCUGGUGUUGCUGUUGGUGGCGUUAAUGGUGUUGACACUAAUAAUGGUGAUGGUGGUAUUGGUGUUGGUGCUGUGAUAGCGUUGACGGUGAUGGUGAUGGUGGUGGUGGUGGUAAUGCUGGUGACGUUAGUGGUUGUGUUAGUGGUAGUCGCGAUGUCCGUGGCUCCCGUGGCGAUGGUGGUAGUGAUGGGAUUUGACGUUGAUGUUGUCGGUGGUGGUUAAGGUGAUGUUCACUGUGUGUGCGUGUGUGUGUGAGGUGUUGAUGGUGGCUGGUGUUGUGUUUAUUUUGCCGGAGAUGUAGACGGUGGUGGCUGUGAAUGUGGGGAUGGUUUGGGAGGAGGGGUUUGAUAAACUGGUGAUAAAAAAAAGUGAAGAUGGAGGCUGUGUUGUUGUUGUUGUUGAUGACUAUGUUGACGAUGACGACGGUGAUGAUAAUGAUGAUGAUGAUGAUGACGAUGAUGAUGACGACGAUGGUGACGAUGAUGGUGAUGAUGAUGGUGAUGAUGAUGAUGAUGAUGAUGAUGAUGACGAUGAUGAUGACGACGAUGGUGACGAUGACGAUGAUGAUGAUGGUGAUGAUGAUGAUGAUGAUGACGAUGAAUGCGGCGAUGAUGAUGAUGGUGAUGACAACCACGAUGCAAAAGACGACCAAGACAACGACGAUGACGAUGAUGAUGAUUGUGGAUCACAACGACGACAGUUAUGAAAAUAAUAGCAACGAUGAUGACGAGGGCGACGAUGACAACGACGGUGAUGAUGAUGACGGCGGCGGUUGUGGCGGGGGAGGGGGAUCUGGUAGUCACUGUAGUGGUGAUUCUGAUAGAUUGUGUGAAUGCAGAGAUGGAAGAAGAAGAAUAGGAAGAAGAAGAAGAAGAAGAAGAAUAGGAAGAAGAAGAAGAAGAAGAAGUAGAAGAAGAAGAAGAAUAGGAAGAAGAAGAAGAAUAGGAAGAAGAAGAAGAAGAAUAGGAAGAAGAAGAAGUUGAAUAGGAAGAAGAAAAAGAAGAACAAGAAGAAAAAGAAGAAGAACAAGAAGAAGAAGAAGAAGGAGGAGGAGAAGAGAGUAGGGCGGCGGUGGCUGCGUGUAACGGUGGCUGCGCUGGUGUUCUUGAUGACAGUAGUGCGAUAGGGGUGUGGUAGGUGGCAGGUGGUAGGUGGUAAAUGGUAUUGAUGCGUACAGGUGAAUGGACUGAUGAAGAAGGGAGGGAAGGAGGCUGGCAGGUGGCAGUGAUGAGAGUGUGUGAAAGAGAGAAAGAGAGAGAGUGAGAGGGAGGAAGGUGUGUUUGUAGCUCGUUUGUGUAAAUGAGCGAGUGUGUUGGUGUGUCUGUGUGUGCGCCUUUGCGCACGCGUGUGUGUGUGUGUGUGUGGAUGUGUGUGUAUGGGUGUGUGCUUGGCGUGUGUGUAUUUUGUGUGUCUGUGUGAGCGCGUUUGAGCGUCAGCGUGUACAUCUGUUCACACACACACACACACACAAGUUUAUAUAACUGUAUAUGUACAUAUAGAUAUAUGUGCAUGCGUAUACACAUAUAUAUGUGUGUGUGUAUGUGUGUGUGUGUAUGUGUGUGUGUGUAUUAGUGUGUAUGUAUGUAUAUAUACAGAUUGAUAGAUAGAUACAUACAUACAUAUAUACAUACAUUUGUUUAUAUACACAAAUGCGCGCGUGUACGCAUGUAUAUGCAUGUGUUUGUGUAUUUACACGUAUACGUUGGUACGUGCGUGUGUGUGUGUGUAUGUGCGUGUGUGUGUGUGUAUGUGUGUCUGUGUGUGCGGGAGACAGAGAAACAGUGAGUGAAAGGUAGAGGUAGAGAGAGAGAGAAAGAGUGAGUGAAAGGUAGAGGGAGGGAGAGAGAGAGAGAAGGAAUAAUUCUACUACUGCUGGUGUUGUUGUUAUUCUUUCCGUUGUUGUUGCAGUUGUUGUUGUUGUUGUUGUUGUAUGCUACCUGGCAGGCAGGCUGGCUGGCUGGUGUGUUGGUCGGUUGGUUUCGUCGUUGAUCCAUUUUCCAUUGCUGGUUGCGUGCUGCGUGUCGAUGCUGUUGUGGUUCUCUGAGGUUCUUUAACCCCAGGUCUGCACCACCCCCAAAUGAAGCAGACACGCGAUCAACAACAUUCCACCCACGACCAUCGCAUCUAAUUCCCUGUCUUCUGUUAUAUAACCCCACGUCAUCCAAUAUAUGUUGCAAUUUAUUUUAAGAGAGUAGAAUCUGAUUUGAGGGAAAUCAUUAGGUUGCUAUUUCUAGCAGAGCCAGCAGACAUGUAGAGGCUCUUUAGAUGGCUGGGUGGUAAUAGUAGUAGUAGUAGCUUUAGUAGUAGUAGUAGGAGAAGUGGUUUUGAUGGUAGUGGUGGUUGUGGUGGUUGUUGUGGUAGUGGUGGUGAUUGUGGUGGUGGUUGUUGUUGUAGUGGUGGUUUUUGUUGUGGUGGUUGUGGUGGUAGUGGUGGUGGUUGUUUUGUUGUGGUGGUGGCGGUGGUUGUGGUUGCGGUUGAAGGCGGUAGCGGUGGUAGUGGAGAUUGUGGUGGCGGUGGUUGUGAUUAACUGUGACAGUGGUGGUGCGGUUGGUUGCGGGUGGUUUUGAUGGUAUUGGUGGCAGUAGAAGUGUUAGUGGUGGUGGAGCUGGUUGUGGUAGAAUUUUUUAGGUAAUAUUAGUUGUGGUGAAUUAGGUGGGUGUGGAGGUGCUGCUUCGUGAGAUAGUAGUGGUAGUAGUAGUUGUUGUUGUAGAAGUAGUAGUAGUAGUAGUAGUAGUAGUUGUAGUAGUAGUUGUAGUAGUAGUUGUAGUAGCAGCAGCUGCAGUAAUAGUAAUCAUCGUCGUCACAGUAGUUGUUUUACUACUACUACUACUACUACUACUACUACUACUACUACUACUACUACUACUACUACUACUACUAGUACUUAUAGUAGCAGUAGUAGUAAUAAAAACAGUGGUGUAAAGGUGGUAGUAUUAAUAGUAAAAGUAAAGGUAGUAGUUGUUGUUUUUGUGGUAGUAGUAGUAGUAUUAGUAACAAUAGUAGUAGCGGUGGUGGAAGUAGUAGUUACACUUUUGGUGUAGUUACUGAAGUAGUAAUAGUUGUUGUAUGGGUGGUAGUGCACGUAUUACAGUAGAGUUGCCGAGUUGCAGUUGUGGUAGACGUUAAAUAUUGUUGGUUUGUACUGUUGUGGUGUUGGUAGUAGUUCUGGUGGUUUUGGUAGUAGUAGUAGUACUGGAAGUGUAUAUUCAAUACUGUAACUGUUGUGGUGUGGGCAAUGGUACAGGUGUUGUGUUAGCAGUUGUAGUAGUGUAUUAGCUACUAUAUUUGAUAUGGUGUUGGUAGUAGUAGAGCUGUUACCUGAGCUACAGCAAUUAUUGUGGUGCUGGUAGUAGCAUUUGCGGUGUUAGGUACAGUAGUAGUUGUGCUGUGUUAGCUAUAGUAAUUGAUGUAGUUUUGGCAGUAGUACUGGCAGUGUCUUAAAUAUUGUAGUAUUGGUAGUAGACGUGGUGUGUCUUAGUUUCUCUAAUUCUUAUAAUGUUGUUCUUAUUUCGUCUCAUAUCAGAUCUGAUGAAUCCCUAAUUUCAGCAUGGCCCUGUGCUAAUCCGAUGAUGUAUGUGGUGAGAAGUUUGUUCCCCAACCACAUGGUCCAGGGUUCAUUCCCACUGCGUGACACCUAAUUGGAAGUGUCCCCUACUACAGCCUCGCGCCAACCAAAGACUUCUUAAUGGAUUUGGUGGACGAAAACUGAAAAAAGCCCCUCGUAUAUCUAUUUAGCUAUCAAUCUAGUUAUCUGUGAGUGUGUAUAUGUUUCCCCUUCCCCCACUGCUUGACAACCGGUGUUGGUGUGUUUAUCUCCCCAUAAAUUAGCGUUUCGCAAAAGAGAACAACAGAAUGUAUACUAGAUUUUACAAAUAAAAAAAUAAUAAAACGAUAAAGUAAUAAUAAUAAUAAUCUUUUCUUCUAUAGGCACAAGGGCUGAAAUCUUGGGAGAGGG
rnacentral:lncRNA from 1 species